UUCACCCACCCGUCUGCUCGCGCACUAUGUAGAACCGCGCCGCGCGCUCACUAAUGCGUCAUACCGCCAUCGAAAUUGACGUGCAUGCUGUCGCUCCUACUCGUCAUUUCGCGCGCGCCAUGUGAACUUCGGUGUUGACUUAUAUACGGGCUGAGAUUAGUUCGAUCGAUCGAUACGCAUAUUCGCAACUCAGUUUGGACACUAGUAACCAUGAACAGUGACUUUGGUGCCCGUAGCAGUUCCCGUGACACUGGAGUGGUGCACGAGGUGGGCGCACGUGCACGCACUUUGAUUCCGAAUCUGAAAAUGGAGACAGAAAUUAAGAAAAAAUGACGUAUCGAGGUUUCAGUAUGCCUGACUGCGGGAAAAAUGGCUUAAACAUCAAGCUUCCAGGCGAAAGGCGUUGGAAGUAAUCUCAACUUUUGGCAGCAUUUCUUGAAUUCUGAGACAUCAAUGAACCCCUGUGGAUUAUUAUGGCAAGACAACCGUUGGCGUUGAAGCUAAAUGAUAUUCUCAAGCUGUUAAUCACAAAUUAAGCUGGGAACAGUCCGGUCGCUGCGGCAGGAGGGGUGCUGUACUGACAGCUGAUCACUCCACACACGCAGGUUCCUACCAGAUAUCAAGCUUCUGGUUUACCUAUCAACGUGUAGCAUCUAUGUUAUAUUGUUUAUGCUAGUUUAAAUAUAAAUGUAUCUUCUAUUUAUUUGUUGACUCGGAAAAUCUAAAUAGGUACUUACAGAUUUGUGAUAUAUGUUAAUAAAUUUUGUAC